CUUGAAAAUAAAUAACGUAUCUGGAAAUAUCUGGAUGUGAUUCAUAUGCAUGCACAAAUAUGUUCAAAAGCCUCUGGUUUCUUCUGAAAACUGCCUGGGAUGGAGAGGAGAAACAUCGAAUGCACGGAUUUGGCUUGCAUAAAAUUGCCCGCAAAAAACCUUGGCAUCCGUAAUCCUGCGACGGAGUAUUUAUCCCGAAAAAAGUGGAAAAGCGUAGGGCGGAACGCCCACUUCCCUCUCGAAGCAUCUUGAUUUCUACUUCUUGAAAAAGAGAGAAUGCGAGAUCGUCAAUAAUCGGCAGCUCCAAGACGAUUCAAAGCCCGACAAAAAUCAAUAAUAAGUGAACCAGGCAUCACAACAAGCCCAAUAUCGGAAAAAUCAAAAAUCAUCAAAAAUCAAAAUCGUCCCGUUCCUGCCAUCAGCGUGUGUCUAUCGUUUGUCUAUCGUAUGCAUUCCAUCAACUGCAAACGGGUUACACCGUCACAAAACUAGGCGAUUUCUUCAUCUCUCCCUCCCGCCUGGAGAGAAAGUCCAGAAAAAAAAAAAAGAUCUAAUAAAUUAAUAACAAGAACCGCUAUCAUGGAGUCAUCAAAAGGCCAAGAAGGAAUAUAUAUACAUAUAUAAACAACUCAAGGUUUAUAUAAUGGUUUAUUUUUUGGCUGAGGAUUUAAUUUCACUUGCUUUUCCUUGCUUCUUGCAUGGAUUUUAGUCCCUUUGAAUUACACAUAAUGACUCGAACUAUGUGAUGUGAUGUCGUCAUUCAUUGAGCAGUGAGCUAGCUGAGGGCCUUCCUGGAAAAUUUAUCGGAAUAACUUAAGGGAGCAAAAAAUAGUAAAUCCCAGAUUCCAGAACAUCCUCUAUUAUUGUAUUGAUUGACACGAAAAACAGCAGUCCCUUUCCUUUGCUAUCUCUCUCCUUCUUCCUUUCCCCUUCUACCUCUACCAAACUGACCCCGAAACCUGAGGAGACCCAAGGUUGCUCAAAAGCGGAUAGUAUGCGUAGAAGAGGCAAGGCGCUAGUUGCACAGCAUUGAAAUUGUUUUCCGAACUGUUUUCAGCACAGAAGCACGGAGGUUCUGUGCGAUCAAACUGCUUCCUUUUCUCGCACAUGCGUCGAGGGAACCCGAAUUUGAAGACAAAACCGGAACAAAGAGAAACCUGGAAGCGUACAGUGAUGAUGGGGUGGCAGUGGCGAUUUCGACCGACGCUUCGCGGGGCCUGGCCCAUAUGAAGGAGCGAUAAUUAUCGUCUUUCAUUCAUUAUUGGCGAUCGAAUAAAUAAACUUCAUGAAAUAAAACAAAUAAAAUACCUCUUUCUUUUUCUCUCCCCCAAUUCGUUGCGGGAGAUUGACGGCAGGAAUCUUGAACAAGCUGAGUUCCCUCGCAAGGCUGGUGUCGAGCCAACCAGAAAAUCCCACCAACCCCUGAGCCUUAUUAGAAAACCAACUGGCAGUGGCCACUGACAGGUAAAAGGCAGCAGGCGAGUCUGGUGAAAGAAAUGGUCCUGAGACUAGCCUUGGUCGAGAAAAAAAAAUUGCUCAGAAUGGUUGGUCCAGUGUGUAUCUUUUACGCAUCCGCCUUGCCAUGAAUAGCCAACGUGCUGGUGUUUGUCCCCACGCAGAGUGCCAGGGAUUGGAUCGCUAUGCAAGAAUUGAGUUUCUCCAAGACAUAAAAACACUCUCAUGAUAUUUUUUUUGCAUCAAGAGCAAGUUAGAUAUUGAUUGUUCUACAAUCGAUAGAAACCUAACAAGACAUGAAGAGGGACAUGGCUAACAUAGCAUUUUCACUUGGAAAAUGCGUGAACAUAUCGCUAAUAUACUUACUUGCCUGGAUAACCCAUGCUGUGGCUCCUCAGAUGGAUGACCCCCGGCCCGAAUGUCAAAAAUACUAGUAAAAAGGGAAGUCUCCCAAAAAAACACAUCCAAUGCACAACCCAGCCUGGCACUACCACUGCGUACAUAUGUCCUCCUGUUCGUUCAUAAAGAUAAGCAAAAUAUCCAAUUCCACGUUA
rnacentral:sRNA from 2 species